AGAACCGGAACACAGGUGCUGCAUGGCUGUCGUCAGCUCGUGUCGUGAGAUGUUGGGUUAAGUCCCGCAACGAGCGCAACCCUUGUCAUUAGUUGCCAUCAUUUGGUUGGGCACUCUAAUGAGACUGCCGGUGACAAACCGGAGGAAGGUGGGGAUGACGUCAAGUCCUCAUGGCCCUUAUGGAUAGGGCUUCACACGUCAUACAAUGGUCGGUACAGAGGGUUGCCAACCCGCGAGGGGGAGCUAAUCCCACAAAGCCGAUCGUAGUCCGGAUCGCAGUUUGCAACUCGACUGCGUGAAGUCGGAAUCGCUAGUAAUCGUGGAUCAGCAUGUCACGGUGAAUACGUUCCCGGGUCUU
rnacentral:rRNA from 1 species